rnacentral:rRNA from 1 species
GAUGAACGCUGGCGGCGUGCCUAAUACAUGCAAGUCGAACGAAACUUCUUUAUCACCGAGUGCUUGCACUCACCGAUAAAGAGUUGAGUGGCGAACGGGUGAGUAACACGUGGGCAACCUGCCCAAAAGAGGGGGAUAACACUUGGAAACAGGUGCUAAUACCGCAUAACCAUAGUUACCGCAUGGUAACUAUGUAAAAGGUGGCUAUACUACCGCUUUUGGAUGGGCCCGCGGCGCAUUAGCUAGUUGGUAGGGUAAAGGCUUACCAAGGCAAUGAUGCGUAGCCGAAUUGAGAGGCUGAUCGGCAACAUUGGGACUGAGAUGCGGCUCAACCUCCUACGGAAGGCAGCAGUAGGGAAUCUUCCGCAAUUGGCGAAAGCCUGAUGGAGCAACGCCGCUUGGGUGAAGACGGUCUUCGGAUCGUAAAACCCUGUUGUUAGGGAAGAAAGUGCGUGAGAGUAACUAUUCACGUUUCGACGGUAUCUAACGAGAAAGCCACGGCUAACUACGUG